AGAGGGUGCGAGCGUUAAUCGGAAUUACUGGGCGUAAAGCGCACGUAGGCGGCUUGGUAUGUCGGGUGUGAAAUCCCCGGGCUCAACCUGGGAACUGCAUCCGAAACUGCCUUGCUAGAGUAUGGGAGAGGGAAAGUGGAAUUUCCGGUGUAGCGGUGAAAUGCGUGGAUAUCGGAAGGAACAUCAGUGGCGAAGGCGACUUCCUGGACCAAUACUGACGCUCAGGUGCGAAAGCGUGGGGAGCAAACAGGAUUAGAUACCCUGGUAGUCCACGCCCUAAACGAUGAGAACUGGAUGUCGGGAGGGUCUGCCUUCCGGUGUCGUAGCUAACGCGUUAAGUUCUCCGCCUGGGAAGUACGGCCGCAAGGUUG
rnacentral:rRNA from 1 species